GCACGACAGCGCGGCCGAGAAAUCCCACCGUUUCUCCGUGAUCGGCCCGCGAAAAACGCUCAUGCGGCGCGCGACUCGUCGUGCUCGUGCGGCGCGGCGCGGCGGGUGGGCUUCAUCGUUCUGCUCCCAGAUUCUGCUGUUGCCUCCUCGCGUGGAGAGAUCUGUACGCGUGGUCGCACGCCCGUGCUGCCUUGGGGAGAUCCAGCGAAGCCUGCAUCUUUUCGCGGAGCCCGGUUGAUAGUUGCUUGGACACUUCGUAGCGCCAAAUCUGGUAAUGCGGAUAGAUCAAGGUGGGGUUUCCGACUUGUGACGAUCUGUCUCGUGCCGUUCUUCCCACACGUCCGGUAUCCGGACACAGGUUAGUAAUACAUCUUUCCAUCCGUGGGAUUUAUAAAGUUACUAAUUGGGAAAAAUCCGUUGCUACUGAUUCGAUUUAAGUAUGAACGUUGCUUUUCUGCCUUUUUCGGGAACGUUACGCCCAUACUUUUUACUUUUGAUUACAUUUAUAAGCUAAAAUUUAAAAAUUUAACCUUAAAUUUAAAGUUGAUUUUGAGAUUUUUCAUUGCAGUUUAUUUUAUAGCUUUAGCUCGUAGAUACCUAUAAACAUGUAUAUAAAAAAAUUAUUUAUAAAUUAUUUUUUGAUUACAAAUAUAUCAUUUGACUUUUUUCUUUCUAAAAGCCAAAAAAAAACCUUUUUACAUCUCCACACAGACUCGGUAGCCAGGUAGCAUAUUUGGCGUUAACAGUGUCUCAAUCUUUCUUGAAUCAUUCUCUUGUUCACAUAAGUUAGAUUUUUUUUUUAAAUAAAAGAAGAUAGCUGGUUACACUUGCUGAGUAACAAUACUGAAAUCCUUGCCCCCUGAACGAAGCAUCGGAUUUCCCAGCCAACCAAAUGAAAUGCAACGAUGCAUUUUCUGGGAAUAUCUCAGUGCCAACCCCAAUGCAACGAACUCCAACGCAACCCAGCUCAAGGCGUGAAACUCAUCUCGAACUCAUCAUCGCCGACCAUCAUGAAAUGCGACCCAUGAUCAAUCACCUUCUUGCCUUCCUCCGUUGCUCUGCUGAAGUGCUUGCAGGGGCUCACCUCGAACUCCACAUGGGCAGUCUGCAUCGACUUCAGGUGCAGGCUCUUGAAAGCAAUCAGCUGGCUCGCCGGCCUGCCGCCGUCCGUGGCGUUCGGCCAGCGGAGGAAGAGCAGCACGGGGUGCCUGCCGUCCAUGGGGCCGUUGUUCUGCACCCUGACGAGCGCCGGGAACCUGAGCUUGUCACAUGUCUCGGAGCCAAUCUCCUCGACGUCAUAGCUCACCGUGCCUCCUGCUGCUGCUGCUGUCGCCAUCGCCUUCAGGCCAUUGAUGCUGCCGAAAGACGGCACCUUCGUGCCGUUUGCAACGAAGUUGUGAGAGUACUUCGAGUAGCUCAGGCCGUAGCCGAACUUGUAGACGGUGUUGCCACGGUAAAACCUGUAUGUUCGUCCGGGAUAUCCUGUGGAUGGAUCGGCGCGCAUCCGCAUAUCUGUCAUGGGCACACUCGUGAACUCUUUUGGAUACCAGGUCACUGGCAGCCUUCCACCUGAUGAACAUAGGUCACAUGUAACACAGUUCAGUAUUUGAACUCAUCUACUGAAAAUGUUCAGAAAGUGAAAAGAAAUCUUACCAGGGUUGUGCUCUCCAAAGAGAACCUGGGCAAUUGCAAUCCCUCCAGCCUCACCAGGGUAACCAGCCCACAGGAUGGCCCCAAUCUUGGGGUUAUACUUCGCAAAGGUCACGUCCACUGGACCACCACACAGUAGCACCAAGAUUACUGGCUUCUUUGCUGCGUUUGCAACGGCGUUGAUGAGGUUCUCCUGCAUUCCUGGGAGAGACAGUUCCAGCCUAUCAACCUCUUCCCUCUCCUGAUCUUGGUCUAAUCCCAUGAACAGAACAACGUAGUCCACUGAACUUGCCAACUGGGCCGCUUCGCCAAUUGAUGAUACAUUGCAGGCAGCCGAGUUGCACCCAGCUAGGAACCUGGUGUCCUUCACAUAGCCUUGGAGCACUUGAAGAGGAGUGACCGAUAUGCAAGGAGGGCCGAAGUAAUUUCCAAGCAAUCUUGUGGCGUCGUUUGCGUUGUGUCCAAUGACAGCAAUGGAUGAGACCUUUGAUUUGGACAGAGGAAGAGCAUUGGCAUCGUUCUUCAGCAAGACAAUGCCAUCUUGUGCUGCUUCAAGAGCAAGAUUUUGGUGCUCCUGCGUGCACACUUGGUCUGGGCCAAUGUUACCGUAGCGGUUGUACUUUGGAUUGCCGUUGAAGAGCCCCAGCCUCAUCCUAACAGCAAAGAGGUUGUGGAGGGCUCUGUUGAUGUCUUGUUCUGUGAUCUUCCCUUGCUGUAUUGCAGACAGACCAUGUUGCUGCACGUAGCUGCCACAGUUCACAUCCAUUCCUGAAAGUGUUUCGGUUUACAAAAGGUAAGAAACGCCUUUUUUUCAAAAAAAAAGAUGACCAUGAUAUAUCAUAUCGUUGCAUCAGUGUUUGAAGCAAUUUGCAUUUUCUAUAUUAUUGUUUUCAUUUUUUUGGUUGUUUUGGACUUCCUUUUGUAGUCUGUUAUUACUCGUUGCGAUUGUUGACUUGAACAUGCAAUGUAACACUACUACACUAACAAAAUUACUUUCAGGAUGAGUUGGCCUUCUUUUUGGACAUUUUAUGUUACCGUCUUUUGUUAUUCAUUGUUACUGUUGACUUGAACCCAUGCAAUGUGCCACUAGCACUACUUAUAUUCUGAAGUGUUCUUUUUUCUUGACAGAUGGAUUCCUGAUAAUAUUAUGAUGUUCAGUGCCAUGCCAUGAAUUAUUUGUAGUGGACACACUCAAGUACCUAAAUCAGCAACACGGGAAAGCCGUAUGCAUGUAUGGAUAGUGGGAUCCAAAUCAACUUUUAGUUGCAGUUCAGUGACCUAACCUAACUUCUAUAUCUUUGCAUUAUUAUCUUGUUGGUUGUUGGCUAUCAUUCCCAGAGGGCUCUAAGUGAGGGAAAUAUACAUUUGAUACUGCGAAAAUAGUAGUAGCAGAUCUUUGACCAAUAGAACGAUGGGGUCAUUAUGACCAGCAAAUUUAUAGUGAUUAGUAGUAGUAGCUGUGAUCUGUUAAUUCAUACCAGC
rnacentral:lncRNA from 1 species